GGAGAUUUACUGAAUGUAAAGAUCAUCCACAAACACAAGCUAAUUACAAAUCACAUAACACAAGUUUAAGAUUACCCAACAUAUUUAUUCAUAUCAUUCUUGUAUUUACCAAGACUACUGGUAAAAUAAAUAAAAGUUGUAGACCCUCUCCCCAGAAAAAUCACAAAUUAAUCCCAAGUGGCAUUAAUUUAUUUUGAGGGUGGCAAGCAAAAGUAUGGAUAUCACUGCCCCAGAAACUAGGGCCUAGCUGACAAAACUGCCUCCUAAUCUAAUUUCAAAGAUGCAAAGAUUAGCAGAAGGAAGUAAAAAUUACCAAUUAUCUAAAAUUUCAAAAAGAAAUAUUUUGGAAAUCAAGUAAGAUCUAGUGAACACAUAAUGUGCUUGAAUUUCUUAAUUUUAUUCACGACUUUAGAAAUGUGAAUGCCAGCAAUUUCUUAGCAUUAAAUCAUCCUGGAUCUCAAAGUAUUCCAUAAUCGUCAUAUUUCAGAAAGACACUACAAAAACCAUCAACGGUAUUUUCAUUUCAUGGUCAGAAAAAAUUUGCAAGGAGAAAAUAAAUGUCUUGCCCCAUAUCACUAGACUGAAAUAUUUGUGCAUUUAAAAUUUUUUCCAAAGCAUAAGCAACACCUAACUUAAAAAUGAAUUUUUUCUGACAGAUGAGCCAGCUUGGUAGAAAAAUUUUUUUCCAACAAGCACAAUCUAUCAAUUUGUUUUCUUUCAAAACACUUUCCCUUUAAAACAAUAGUAAUUUGGGCCCAGUGCGGUGGCUCAUGCCUGUAAUCCCAGCACUUUGGGAGGCCAAGGCGGGCGGAUCACAAGGUCAGGAAUUCAAGACCAGCCUGUCCAAUAUGGUGAAAUCCCAUCUCUACUAAAAAUAAAAAAUUAGCUGGGCAUGGUGGCAGGCGCCUGUAAUCCCAGCUGCUUGGGAGGCUGAGGCAGAAGAAUCGCUUGAACCCGGGAGGCGGAGGUUGCAGUCAGCCAAGAUCAUACCACUGCACUCCAGUCUGGGUGACAAAGCGAGACUCUAUCUCAAAAAAAAAAAAAAAAAAGUGAUUUGAUUCCCCUACCCCAUAAAGCCUACUGUAUCUACAGUGCAUGAAUAAACAUAUACUAAGUGUCAGUCCUAGAGUAUAAAAAAACCAAGCAAUCCAGAGACUUGACAAAAUUCUGAAAUCGGUUAAGCUUUGCUUUGGCAUUCCUCCUACCUUCCUUCUGGUGCUCCUACUCCCAUUUCUAAGAAGUUCCUCGUAUCUUUCCAAAGUUCUUCACCUGAGACACCUACUCAAGAUUUCUUUCCCUUGAUCUGUCUCACUUGUUGAGAUAACUGAUUUCAGCCAACGAACACAACCAACACUUGAUUUAAUCAUUAACAUUUAGUAAAGGCCCUUGACUUUUCUGUGUGUCAACAGCCCCCUUGAAAAAUCUCAUAAAUGUUGUGGACCCUCUCCCCAGAAAAAUCACACAUGCACUCACACAUAACUUUUCAAACAAUUUUAAGGGAUUCAGGGUCACACAGCCAAAAUAUAUAAACCCCAGAACCAGAAAACCCCAGGUUAAAAACCCCCAUACUUAACAUAUUAAUAUCAUAAAACCUCAAAACUCUGCAAGAGGUUAUUUGUAUUUUAAGACACUGUCAACUCAAAUGAAAUCUCCAAUUCUCAGAAUUUAAGACAAUGUAAAAGAGGCAAAAAAAAAAAAAAACAACCCAAACAAUAUGGAGAUUUUUAGGCAGCCUUGUCAUUGGGGGUCAUCUCCCAAAGCAUUUAAGCUGCAACUCCCAUUGCAGAGAGACAUGGAAGAACAGGACCUAUUUCUAAGCAUGGGUCUUCUACUAAGUUAGAUUCUGUAGGACCUACCCCUGAAUUUAGUAAUGCUCUAGAAAUCUAUUCUGUCUAAACUAUCAUGGUUCCCAGCAAAACAAUACAUAUAUAUAUAUAUACGUAUGCCAAGUCCAGUUUUUAUCCCAAUGAUUUUUUUUUUUUUAAUAGAUACGAGGUCUUGCUAUGUUGCUCAGGCUGGUCUUGAAGUGCUGGGUUCAAGCGAUCCUCCGGCAUUGCCCUCCAAACCAAUGAACUCUGUGGUAUUUCACACGGCUAACUUCCCUGUCAGUAUUCACUUAAUCCCUCUCUUCAGCUUCUUCAACCCUAUAACCUUAUCUGUUUAGCCAUUCUUUCUCAACUUACUUCAUAGGUUUCUAUUCUUCUACUUGACCCUCAGAUGUAGAUGCUCUUCAAGGUUGCCCUUAGUUUUUUUUCUUCACUCCUGAUAUGGUUAAGCAUUCCUAAUCCAAAAGUUUAAAAUCUGAAAUGCUCCAAAAUCUGAAACUUUCUGAGUGUUGACAUGAUGCCACAAGUGGAAAAUUCCACACCUGACCUCAGGUGACAUGUUGCAGUCAGAAUGGAAUCAAAACUUUGUUUCCUGCACAAAAUUAUUUAAAAUAUUGUAUAAAACUGCAUCCAGGUUGUAAGAUGUAUAUGAAACACAAAUGAAUUUCAAGUUUAGACUUGGGCCCUAUCUCCAGGGUAUCUCAUUAUAUGCAUACCAACAUUACAAAGUCAAAAAAAACUCCAAAACAUUUCUGGUCCUAAGCAUUUUGGAUAAAGGAUACUCAAUCUGUACUAUUUUCUCUUUCUUUUUUAUAGACAGGGUCUUACACUGACACCCAAGCUGGAGUGCAGUGGCCCUAUCAUAGCUUGCUACAGCCUCAAACUCCUGGGCUCAAGUCAUACUCCAGCCUCAGCCUCCCGAGUAGCUGAGACCACAGGUGGCUACCACUAUACCUGACAAAUUUUUUAAAUUUUUGUAGAAACAGGGUCUCACAACGUUGCCCAGACUGGUUUUGAACUCCUGGCCUUAAGUGAUCCUCUGCCUUGGCCUCCUAAAGUGUUAGGAUUACAGGUGUGAGGCACCAUGCCUGGCUUUCUGCAGUUUCUAUAUGGCAUUAUACUGAUGAAUGCAAAUCCCCUAAUUUAUCCCAAUGUCCCCUUGAGCUCCAGCCCAAAUACCCAGGUACUUACUUGACCUUUCUUGAUUCCCAGAUAUCUUAACACAUCUGGAGUCAUACUCUAUUACCUUCCUCCUCAAAUUCUGUUCUUCCUAUACAUUCCCUAUCUUAAAGGCAUCAUCAUCACCCAAUAACCACACUAUAAUCUUUAACUCUUUACUCAAUUGUCACUCAAAUCUGACAACUGUGAAGUAAAAAUUAUCCCCAGAAUCGAUGUCCUUUUACAUCACAAUUCAAUACUCUCACAAGUCUCUAGUCAAAUCUUUACAUGUCAUCUUUUUAAAAACCAUAGUGGAUGUCCUACUCAAACCUCUUAUGGUCCCUAAAUGCCUAUAGAAUAAAGUUCACACUCAUGAGCAUGGAAUUACAAACUCUUCCCAAUAUGGCCACAACCUUAUCAGUUUCACUUUCCACUAUUCUCCAAGUCGAGCAAAAUCCACUUGCUAGUUCUCAAAUCAGACUACUGAUGCCCUUCCUCUCAGCCCCUCUUCUCCAUCAGUAAUGCAGCUACUCCCCCUUCCAAGUCCUACUCAAACUUCCCCUAUGUGAAAAGUCUUCCCUAACCUCACUUUUCUCUGUGUAUCAUUCUCCUCUCCCUAGAAGGAAUUUCUCCCUCCUCCUAUAAUCCCACACCACUCUUUGUUUGCUCUAUUUUGGUUCUCUAGAAGUUGUAACAUAGCUAGUUGAGCCCAUACCUUUCUGCUCUACACGACAAGGCCCAAGAUUUGUUACUCUAGCACCUAGUACAUGCCCAGAAUGUGGUAUAUCUUUAAUCAUCGUCAGGUGAAUGAAUGAGUGGCAAAACUCCAAAGUGAGAAUACACUUAAGGAGGUUAUUUCUUAAUGGAGAGAAUGCUUCACUCUCCUUUGAACAUAAAACAAGAAUCAGGUCCCCUAGUCCCCAACUCCCCAUUUCUAGUCCACUGCGCAAACAGUUUUAAGCAAUGUUUCAUUGGGACAUUUCCUCAUUUCCCCUUGUUCUUUGUAGGUUUAGCUGCCAGCCUAACCACAUUAGCAUUCAGUAGCAGCAACAAAACGGACUCUUAAAGUUCUAAAAAGCAAAAACUUUACAAUUACCAACAGUAAAAUACAUGCUCUUUUUAAAAAAAACUGUCUUAAUAUAUAUGCAUACAAAGCUCAUUCUUCAUGAAGAUUCAGAAAAUGGCUUGGCAUAGUUUAUCCCAACAGGCACCACUUAAAGAGUUCUUAAGAAAAUGUCCACUUAAGCCAUCAGCCAAACUUUUCACAUUUGUUACCACAGAAAUCAGCAUGCAUGAAUUAAUCGAAAUACAAUGCAUAUUAAACAAUGCAAUUACUAUAGUCUAAAUCACCAAACUGAUAACCCAUACAAAAGUAGCUCUUACAACUUUUUUUGAGAAUAUUUCCCCUAAAAAAUUCCAGUGAUCAUCCCAACCUACAAAACUAGAUUAUUUUACUAGUAUCAUCUUCUCUUUACCCCUCUUCUCCCCACCAACACUCCCUCCAACACACACACACUUCUCCUUAAGAGAAACGGCUUCCUCAAGAAAUUAUCUGAUGGUUCAGUAGCAGUUGGAGUUUUACACAAACUAUGUUGUGAUUGGGCAAGGCAGACUACCAGAUCUGGGAUUCAGUAGACCAUUCCUUACUGUCAGAUUAUCUUCUAAGUGACUGCUCUUAGAGAAACAACACAGAUUUGCCUCAAGAGAUUACAAAUGUGGUAGGCCUACCUUAACAGCAACUAGUUUUUUUUAAGAAACACGGUCGCACUGUCGCCCAGGCAGGAACACAAUGGCAUGAUUAUGCUCACUGCAACCUCAAACUCCUAAGUUCAAGUGAUCCUCCUGCCUCAGCCUCCUGAAUAGCUCAAACUAUAGGCAUAUGCCACCAUACCCAGCUAGUUUUUCGUUUUUUUGUUUUUUUAAAUAUUCUGUAAAGACAGGAUGUCACUACAUUGCCCAGGCUGGUCUAGAAUUCCUAGCCUCAAGCAAUCUUCCUGCCUUGGCCUCCCAAAGUGCUGGGAUUAUAGGCAUGAACCACCAUAACCAGCCAUUGUUUUCUAAUAUACUAGAACAUCUCUGUAAAGUUUUAUUUCUAGCCCUUCUUUGGGUCAUAGAAAGUUUACUUGGUAUCACAUAAAUGUUCACAUUUUAAAAC
rnacentral:lncRNA from 10 species